GACGAACGCUGGCGGCGUGCUUAACACAUGCAAGUCGAACGGAAAGGCCCUGCUUUUGUGGGGUGCUCGAGUGGCGAACGGGUGAGUAACACGUGAGUAACCUGCCCUUGACUUUGGGAUAACUUCAGGAAACUGGGGCUAAUACCGGAUAGGAGCUCCUGCUGCAUGGUGGGGGUUGGAAAGUUUCGGCGGUUGGGGAUGGACUCGCGGCUUAUCAGCUUGUUGGUGGGGUAGUGGCUUACCAAGGCUUUGACGGGUAGCCGGCCUGAGAGGGUGACCGGCCACAUUGGGACUGAGGUGCGGCCCAGACUCCUACGGGAGGCAGCAGUGGGGAAUAUUGCACAAUGGACGGAAGCCUGAUGCAGCAACGCCGCGUGCGGGAUGACGGCCUUCGGGUUGUAAACCGCUUUCGCCUGUGACGAAGCGUGAGUGACGGUAAUGGGUAAAGAAGCACCGGCUAACUACGUG
rnacentral:rRNA from 1 species